UACGGAGGGGGCUAGCGUUGUUCGGAAUUACUGGGCGUAAAGCGCACGUAGGCGGCUUUGUAAGUUAGAGGUGAAAGCCCAGGGCUUAACCCUGGAAUUGCCUUUAAGACUGCAUCGCUAGAAUCGUGGAGAGGUGAGUGGAAUUCCGAGUGUAGAGGUGAAAUUCGUAGAUAUUCGGAAGAACACCAGUGGCGAAGGCGACUCACUGGACACAUAUUGACGCUGAGGUGCGAAAAGCGUGGGGAGCAAACAGG
rnacentral:rRNA from 1 species